UUUCCGUAGGUGAACCUGCGGAAGGAUCAUUAUUGUAUAACCGAGGUGCGAGGGCUGUCGCUGACCCGAAAGGUCGUGCACGCCCGAGUGCCCUCACGCACAUCCAUCUCACCCCUAUGUGCACCACCGCGUGGGUCCCCCUUUGGCUUGUUCGGAGGGGGGCUUACGUUUUCACACAAACUUUGUAUGCAGUGUAGAAUGUAUUUUUGUUUUUGCGAUCACGCAAUCAAUACAACUUUCAACAACGGAUCUCUUGGCUCUC
rnacentral:misc_RNA from 1 species